rnacentral:miRNA from 6 species
UUUGGUAUUCUAGCUGUAGA